rfam:Paenibacillus sp. VKM B-2647 B-2647_024, whole genome shotgun sequence.
UUAUUGGAGAGUUUGAUCCUGGCUCAGGACGAACGCUGGCGGCGUGCCUAAUACAUGCAAGUCGAGCGGAUCCUCGUGCUUCCUUCGGGAAGCACUGGGGUUAGCGGCGGACGGGUGAGUAACACGUAGGCAACCUGCCUGUAAGACCGGGAUAACUACCGGAAACGGUAGCUAAGACCGGAUAGCUGGUCUUCUCGCA